UUGGAUCCGGGUCGGGUGGGAGCGAAAUAAAUAGUUAAAACUUUGAAUGGCCAAAUUGCGGAUUCAGGAUUUAGAGUGAGUUCUGGAGAUUACUACUCUCAAGCUAAAACGGAGAUGCCAUCAUCAUCAUCGGAUCGUGAAGCUCCCAACAUCAUUCCAAGCCAGGAUCACGUCGCCCUGCCCGAACUUCCCGAGCAUCCAUCCUUUUGGCUGCAAGGAGUAUCUACCCAAAGCUCUCUCAAAGCUUGCUCUUGCAUUAGAAAAGAAUCUGUUGGUUACUUCUAUGCUAUCCAUCAGCACGGAGCCACAAUCACAACCCACUGAGGAAGCAAACGCAGCAACGGAAGACACAAAAACGGCUGCAGAAAACGGGACACAGCCAAAUGGAAUUGAAGCAGUGGUGGGAGGUGACAAGGAUGAGAUAAUGUCCAAAAUUUUAUUGAUAUACCCUCCCUACAGCGGAAGGAAACUAUUUCAAAGGAUUGUCCGUUGUCGGAUGCUGUUGUUAACAUUUUUAAUUGAAAGGGGAUUUGGACAAACAAGAAAGAACAACUUCUUUCUAUUAAUGGUAGCAACAACAGAGUUAAAACAA